GGAAUCUUUCACAAUGGGCGAAAGCCUGAUGGAGCAACGCCGCGUGCAGGAUGACGGCCUUCGGGUUGUAAACUGCUUUUAUAAGCGAGAAAUAUGAUGGUAACUUAUGAAUAAGGAUCGGCUAACUACGUGCCAGCAGCCGCGGUCAUACGUAGGAUCCGAGCAUUAUCCGGAGUGACUGGGUGUAAAGAGUUGCGUAGGUGGCGUGGUAAGUAGAUAGUGAAAUCUGGUGGCUCAACCAUUCAGACUAUUAUCUAAACUGCCAAGCUCGAGAUCGUUAGGGGUAGCUGGAAUUUCUAGUGUAGGAGUGAAAUCCGUAGAUAUUAGAAAGAACACCGACAGCGUAGGCAGGCUACUGGGACGAUUCUGACACUAAGGCACGAAAGCGUAGGGAGCAAACG
rnacentral:rRNA from 1 species